rnacentral:rRNA from 1 species
AACGAACGCUGGCGGCAGGCUUAACACAUGCAAGUCGAGCGCCCCGCAAGGGGAGCGGCCGACGGGUGAGUAACGCGUGGGAACGUACCUUUUGGUUCGGAACAACUCCGGGAAACUGGAGCUAAUACCGGAUAAGCCCUAACGGGGAAAGAUUUAUCGCCGAAAGAUCGGCCCGCGUCUGAUUAGCUAGUUGGUGAGGUAACGGCUCACCAAGGCGACGAUCAGUAGCUGGCCUGAGAGGAUGAUCAGCCACACUGGGACUGAGACACGGCCCAGACUCCUACGGGAGGCAGCAGUGGGGAAUAUUGGACAAUGGGCGCAAGCCUGAUCCAGCCAUGCCGCGUGAGUGAUGAAGGCCUUAGGGUUGUAAAGCUCUUUUGUCCGGGAAGAUAAUGACUGUACCGGAAGAAUAAGCCCCGGCUAACUUCGUG